CUUAUAUUCUUUGGCCGGCUCACUCCUUGCUUCUCUUUUCUUUCUUUUUCUUCUUUUUCAUUUUCGGUAGAACACUCUCUACUCUCAUCCUCUCCACCGGCACUUCCACACCACCACCAUCACCAUUUCCACCAUCAUUUUUUCCGGCAAGAUCACUGGAAAAUCUUUGGGAACCUAUAAACACCUUCACAUCCUUUUUUUGAGGUUUGCUUGAUAUUGUUGAGGUUCUAGCUAAUCUCCUUUGGAGCUUGAAAAAUUAGGCUUUUGCGGUUGCGAGUGAUCACCCGAUUUGGUUUCCAUAGUCUUUGUGACAAUGGAAUCAAAUCUAGGUCAGUACUCUUUCACUUUGGAUGACGCGUUCUUCCCUGUUGCCCAUGGGGGGAAGAGGUUCCUCAAUUGUGUGUGGGUGAGGCUGUUGCCCAUGGGGCCAAGAGACCAUAUGCAAGAGAGGUCAUAUUUAACGCGCUCUCUCUGCUGCCCAUGGGGGGAGAGAAAAACCUUGAGGGUAUGGGUGAGGCUGCUGUCCAUGGGGCCAAGAGUCUGCAUACCAGAGAGGACAAUAUCAUGCCAGUUGUGAAUGGGUGGAUCCCCUGAUCGGUCUAUGUGGUAGUGUGGUAUAUCUAUGAUAAUUUACCCUAUGUUAGAUAUUAUGGUUUUGGAAAUUAUUUUGUUGGUGCUCACAGAUUAUAGUAUACAGUUUCAAGGUAUUUACUUUGAGAAACUUUGUGUUUCAUUAUUCAAUCAUUUUUGUCAUUUCAUAUUAUUAUUAUUGAAGAUGAAACUUGCAUUUCCCCCACCCCCAUUAAUUAUGCUACUUACUGGGCUUUAGCUCAUCCCAAUCUUUCACAGUCUUACAAAUUAAUUAGCUAUAUCAUGGGAAUGGAUCUUGCCUUAUCGGUAAUGAUUGGAGUUUUAUGCUGACUUGGGAGACUUACAUUACUAAUGGUUGGUGACUCGAUCUUGCUAUGUUCAAUGAGACCUUAAUCAAUUCUAUUGGAGGUUGGUCACUUGAGGUUUGUUAGUCUUAGGCUGGUAGGCCUAGACUCGAUAUUAAGAUUCCUUAUCCUUGAUAAGAUUGUGAUUUUGUGUAAUCCAAGAGUUUUGUAAUAUAAUUCAAGUAUUAUGUGGAAGCACAUGAUUUUUAGUUAUUGUUCGUAAAUGUGUUAUAGAGCUCUGACUUGUAAUGUGGAGAUUUAUGGUUAUAUAUUCUUAUCAUGUGGAAAUGAAAGGAAAAUAAAGAUUUCCUAUAGUUUGGUUGUCCAAAAAAAAAAAAAAAAUCUACAGGUACCUUUGGGAUGUAUUUCUCAUGCUUUGGACCCUUUUGGGUUUGGGGCAUGACAACCUAAGGGUAGAGUGGUAAAUGUUUCCUCAAGAUAUUUGUAGUUAAUGGUCCACAAUGAUCAGCACAUCCCCUCCUUGGAUCCACACGGUUCUCUCCCUCUUCUUGUGUCCUUCUCUAGCUUCUUCUUCUCUUCUCGUUUUCUCUACCCCAUGGCUGACCCAUUGCAAGCUUUCUCUACUCUAAACCACCCAUUAUCACCACUUAAACAACCUAAACCACAAUAGUACGGCUCCAUUUUAAUGGAGGUAGCAAGUGUUCUCCUGGAGUUGUUGAAACAGUGGUGUAAAGGUUCCGAUAUUCUUGGUGAUGGAACUAGUAACUAGAUUGGUUGAAUGUGGAGCCCGGUUGAGGUAAAUUUGAAUUGGACUAUUGAGUUUUUCAGAUAAAUUUGCUAUACCUCGGGCAUGGAGCUUGUUUUAUUGGUGGUGAUUGGAGCAUUAUGCUAAGUGAGAGAUUUAUGCUAUGAUUGGUUGGUGACUCAAUCUUGCAAAGUUCAACGAGAUCAUAAUCAAUUCUAUUGGAGGUUUGAUACUUAAGGUCUGUUAGCCUUGGGUGUGGUAGGCCUGGAUUUUCUAUUGAGGUUGCAUACCUUAGAGAGGAUCAUGACUUUGUGUUUAUUUUAUUUGGAACAUUGGAUCGUUAAGUGUAUUUGGAGUCACAUGAUUGUAGUUUGUAUUGCUUGUAAAUGUGUCAUAGAGCUCUGACUUGUAUUGUGGAUAAAUCAAUAUAUCUAUUUAUUUUAUCAAA